rnacentral:rRNA from 1 species
AUACGGAAGGUCCGGGCGUUACUCGGAUUUAUUGGGUUUAAAGGGAGCGUAGGCCGGAGAUUAAGCGUGUUGUGAAAUGUAGAUGCUCAACAUCUGCACUGCAGCGCGAACUGGUUUCCUUGAGUACGCACAAAGUGGGCGGAAUUCGUGGUGUAGCGGUGAAAUGCUUAGAUAUCACGAAGAACUCCGAUUGCGAAGGCAGCUCACUGGAGCGCAACUGACGCUGAAGCUCGAAAGUGCGGGUAUCGAACAGGAUUAGAUACCCUGGUAGUCCGCACGGUAAACGAUGGAUGCCCGCUGUUGGUCUGAAUAGGUCAGCGGCCAAGCGAAAGCAUUAAGCAUCCCACCUGGGGAGUACGCCGGCAACGGUGAAACUCAAAGGAAUUGACGGGGGCCCGCACAAGCGGAGGAACAUGUGGUUUAAUUCGAUGAUACGCGAGGAACCUUACCCGGGCUUGAAUUGCAGAGGAAGGAUUUGGAGACAAUGACGCCCUUCGGGGCCUCUGUGAAGGUGCUGCAUGGUUGUCGUCAGCUCGUGCCGUGAGGUGUCGGCUUAAGUGCCAUAACGAGCGCAACCCCUCUCCUUAGUUGCCAUCAGGUCAGGCUGGGCACUCUGGGGACACUGCCACCGUAAGGUGUGAGGAAGGUGGGGAUGACGUCAAAUCAGCACGGCCCUUACGUCCGGGGCUACACACGUGUUACAAUGGCAGGUACAGAGAGACGGUCCCUUGCAAAAUGGAUCAAAUCCUUAAAGCCUGUCUCAGUUCGGACUGGGGUCUGCAACCCGACCCCACGAAGCUGGAUUCGCUAGUAAUCGCGCAUCAGCCAUGGCGCGGUGAAUACGUUCCCGGGCCUUGUACACACCGCCCGUCAAGCCAUGAAAGCCGGGGGCGCCUAAAGUCCGUGACCGUAAGGAGCGGCCUAGGGCGAAACUGGUAAUUGGGGCU